rnacentral:rRNA from 1 species
GUGCAAUGGCAUAAGCCAGCUUGACUGCGAGCGUGACGGCGCGAGCAGGUGCGAAAGCAGGUCAUAGUGAUCCGGUGGUUCUGAAUGGAAGGGCCAUCGCUCAACGGAUAAAAGGUACUCCGGGGAUAACAGGCUGAUACCGCCCAAGAGUUCAUAUCGACGGCGGUGUUUGGCACCUCGAUGUCGGCUCAUCACAUCCUGGGGCUGAAGUAGGUCCCAAGGGUAUGGCUGUUCGCCAUUUAAAGUGGUACGCGAGCUGGGUUUAGAACGUCGUGAGACAGUUCGGUCCCUAUCUGCCGUGGGCGCUGGAGAACUGAGGGGGGCUGCUCCUAGUACGAGAGGACCGGAGUGGACGCAUCACUGGUGUUCGGGUUGUCAUGCCAAUGGCACUGCCCGGUAGCUAAAUGCGGAAGAGAUAAGUGCUGAAAGCAUCUAAGCACGAAACUUGCCCCGAGAUGAGUUCUCCCUGACUCCUUGAGAGUCCUGAAGGA